UGAUGACGUGGGCUACGUGCACAAUGACCUUGAAACUUAAGGGUUGGUUUGAUCUGGGUUUUCAAGUAGCGGGGAAGUGUUGGCUGCUGCUGCUCCGCUCCCUCAACGCUCAUUUUUUACACAUCGCAUCGUCGAUCCGAUCCCGGCUCCAAUCCGCCAAACAGUGUGAUUUUGUGUGAAAGAAUCAAAGAUGUUGGGAAUUUAAAGGCAAAAAGUGGGAGCUGGAAGCUCAUCAGCCAUGAUUUUGGGGCGGAGGAUCCGCCCCGCCACGUCGGCAAUGAGGUGUUUCGCAUCUUCGGCGAAAGAGAUCGGUCGAUUCCGGAGGCCCUGCCAUUGAGGUACCUAAAAGCUGCCAUUUGGAUUUGUUCCCCAGAUGAUAAUGAUUGUUCUUUUGCUUUGAUGUAGAAGAGAUUGGGUUUUUCGAGUUUGUGACUGUUUUUUGAAGCCUGCGAAGACCUGUGUGUUUAAGAUUUCGGCAUGGGAAAGUUCACCUUCUAAUUAGAUUGUGUGCUUCUUGGGGAUGUUGGAGCUGGGAAAUCAAGUUUGGGGUUGCGCUUUGUAAAAGAACAAUUCGUUGAAUUCCAGCAAAGCGCGGGCAUUCCUGCUAGUGAUAUUGAUUCUGGAAGCAUGCCGAAACAAGGUUGUUUGAUCGCAAUUCACAAGAAUUGCUCCGCCAAUUAGGCUUCCACAACAUCAAUAACCCUUACGUUGAUAUGUACUUCCAUUGCACCAAGGACGCCAUGUCGAUCGUGGAAUUCCACAAAACUCUGAUGAACCAAGUGCUUCCCUUGGCCUGGUCGCAUAAUCCUCUAACCACCCACAAACUCAUCUGCAAUUUCAUAGACAGACGCGGCGACGGUGAAAAACGCAACCAAGACGAAGCUUUCUUCACAGCGACGGUUUGGCUCCACCAGAACCACUCGAAAACCGUUGCAUACAAUCUUGUGCCAAUUUCCGACUCCUUUGGACAUAUCCUACACCUUCCCUGCAUUCUUUCGCAGGUUUUACGGGGCGAAGCUCACUUGAAAUUUACUGGAAGGACGAGGGAAAAGGCGGAUUCAAAUGGGAUGGUGAAGGUCAAGGAAAAGGAUGCCAAGUCAGAGGUAAGCGAAUUGUUGUUGAGGAGGAAGGUGAUCCACACGGCCAACAAGGCGGCUCAAAAAUACAAGCGCGACGUUGAUUAUUGCUUCUUGCACAACUGUGUUUUGGAUAUUUUUGCCCAGAGCCUCAAGUUUGAUAUUGAAAAAUUUCAUCAUCACAAGGACCAUGACCAUGACCAUCAUGAUGAUUAUUGCUUGGAGAUUACCCAAGCAGUUACCUUUUUGCCUACCAUCGCUGAUCAUCAUAUGUUGUUUGAAAACAUUGCGAGGAAGGUUUUCCGGUCAGAAUCAUGCCUCUGAGAAGGGGAUGGUAGUCUUUGUUGUAUUGACCGACUGACGAAGGAGGUUUUGUCGCCCUUGAGAAAAACUAUGGCGCCAGAGGCCUGGGAACCUGCCAACCGGUGGGGUUAUAGAGCGGAGUACAAGCGAGAGCAACUGGCUGUAGCUAAUGAGGUUGAUCCUGGCGUGCAGCGCUGCUUUCGCAUGACAUAUUAAGCUAUAUCAAGUAUUUUGAGCUUGAGCAAGAGGCUGAUGUUAAGUGGAAGAAAAUGAUGGAGGUCUACUCAAAGCAGGGGAAGCAGAAGAAUUGGUUGGCUGUGUGAUGUCGACAACACCUUGUCGGCGGGUUUGGCUUUGGGGCUUUUGUUGCUUCAAUUGAGUGACGAGCCAUGGAAGGGAAAUGUGGUCACCUAAAGCAAAGACCCUCAGCUGCAUUCGAUUCAAGGCGAGGAUCUUAAUUGGAAGGCCGAAUAUAUGCAAACUUUGAUCAAAAGCCAGGACUGGACGGCUGAUUUCGGGAACGUGUUCGAUGUGAUUCUAGAAGAGGUGGUGAAUGCGAAUUUGAAGCUAGAUAAGAUGGUCAAGAAGGUGUUUGCCUUGACCACAUACAAACACUUCUUGACAGGCAGCAACUUCAGCUUCUGGGGGGAGAUUAAGAUGUCUACCUUUGUUCUUCUAGUUUAUGCUACUACUUUCACUUCUCCAAAGCUCUCCUUUCUUUGAGUUCUGAUAAGACUAAGAGAAAGUAUAUAUAGGGGUAUAUGUGUUGCUAAUAAGUGUGUGUGUGUGUGUGUGUGUGUGUGUGUGUAGAGAAGAGCAAAGUGAGUGACAAGAACUAAAAAAGUGGAUCUUGAAAACGGUAGGCUUAUAACGUUCAAAUUCUAACAGUCACUUUGAGUAGGGCAAUAGAAACGAAUAAAAUGUGGGGCCUGGACUUGUUGCCUCAAGUGAUCUGGCACUGGCACUUCCAAAUGUAAAGAAAAAGGGCACAAAGACAACUAGAUGAGCACCAUAGCCUUAAAUGGGUUGAUCUUGCUUUGGAAUUUUUGGUUGAUUCGAGGUUAUUUUUCAAUUGAGAUUUGCUUUGGUGAGCAUGAACUUCCCUA